AACGAACGCUGGCGGCAUGCCUAACACAUGCAAGUCGAACGAGACCUUCGAGUCUAGUGGCGCACGUGUGCGUAACGCGUGGGAACCUGCCCUUAGGUUCGGAAUAACUCCCCGAAAGGGGUGCUAAUACCGGAUAAUGUCUUCGGACCAAAGAUUUAUCGCCUUUGGCUGGGCCCGCGUUGGAUUAGCUAGUUGGUAGGGUAAAAGCCUGCCAAGGCGACGAUCCAUAGCUGGUCUGAGAGGAUGAUCAGCCACACUGGGACUGAGACACGGCCCAGACUCCUACGGGAGGCAGCAGUGGGGAAUAUUAGACACUGGGCGAAAGCCUGAUCCAGCAAUGCCGCGUGAGUGAUGAAGGCCUUAGGGUUGUAAAGCUCUCUUACCCGGGAUGAUAAUGACGGUACCGGGAGAAUAAGCUCCGGCUAACUCCGUG
rnacentral:rRNA from 1 species